GACGAACGCUGGCGGCGUGCCUAAUACAUGCAAGUAGAACGCACAGUUUAUACCGUAGCUUGCUACACCAUAAACUGUGAGUUGCGAACGGGUGAGUAACGCGUAGGUAACCUGCCUGGUAGCGGGGGAUAACUAUUGGAAACGAUAGCUAAUACCGCAUAAUAUUGAUUAUUGCAUGAUAAUUGAUUGAAAGAUGCUAUUGCAUCACUACCAGAUGGACCUGCGUUGUAUUAGCUAGUAGGUGAGGUAACGGCUCACCUAGGCGACGAUACAUAGCCGACCUGAGAGGGUGCUCGGCCACACUGGGACUGAGACACGGCCCAGACUCCUACGGGAGGCAGCAGUAGGGAAUCUUCGGCAAUGGACGAAAGUCUGACCGAGCAACGCCGCGUGAGUGCAGAAGGUUUUCGGAUCGUAAAGCUCUGUUGUAAGAGAAGAACGGGUGUGAGAGUGGAAAGUUCACACUGUGACGGUAUCUUACCGGAAAGGGACGGCUAACUACGUG
rnacentral:rRNA from 1 species